UCAGGACACAGCAUGGACAUGAGGGCCUCUGCUCAGAUCCUGGGGCUCUUGCUGCUCUGCCUCCCAGGUGCCAGCAGUGACAUCCAGAUGACACAGUCUCCAUCUCUUCUGUCAGUAUCUCGAGGUGACAGAGUCACCAUCACCUGCAGGGCCAGUCAGGGCAUUAGCAAUAAUUUACACUGGUAUCAGCAGAAACCAGGACAAGCUCCUAAGUUCCUCAUCAAAUAUGCUACCAGUUUACAAUCUGGGGUCCCCUCGAGGUUCAGUGGCAGUGGAUCUGGGACAGAUUUCACUCUCACCAUCAGCAGCCUGGAGCCUGAAGAUGUGACCAAUUAUUACUGUCUACAAGGUUACAAUCUUCCUCCCACAGCAGGCUUGCUCUGUGCUAGUUUCUACAGAGAUGUGGUGGCCUUAGGGCCCUCAGGAAAGGAGGACAAGGACAAGUGA